rnacentral:rRNA from 1 species
AUUGAACGCUGGCGGCAUGCUUUACACAUGCAAGUCGAACGGCAGCGCGGGCUUCGGCCUGGCGGCGAGUGGCGAACGGGUGAGUAAUGCAUCGGAACGUGCCCAGUAGUGGGGGAUAGCCCGGCGAAAGCCGGAUUAAUACCGCAUACAACCUGAGGGUGAAAGCGGGGGACCGAAAGGCCUCGCGCUAUUGGAGCGGCCGAUGUCUGAUUAGCUAGUUGGUGGGGUAAAGGCUUACCAAGGCGACGAUCCGUAGCUGGUCUGAGAGGACGACCAGCCACACUGGGACUGAGACACGGCCCAGACUCCUACGGGAGGCAGCAGUGGGGAAUUUUGGACAAUGGGGGCAACCCUGAUCCAGCCAUGCCGCGUGCGGGAAGAAGGCCUUCGGGUUGUAAACCGCUUUUGUUCGGGAAGAAAUCCUCUGGGCUAAUACCCCGGGGGGAUGACGGUACCGGAAGAAUAAGCACCGGCUAACUACGUG